GUUACCCAAUGAAGAAUCUUAGUUCAACUUUAAUCUUGCCCCAAGAAACUAGAAUCCUAAUGCAAGGUUAAAAUAUAGCCUAAAGAGGGACAGCCCUUUAGGAAUGGAUACAACCUUUAGCAGUGAGUAAGGUAAAAUAUUUGAUAACCAUAGUUGGCUUAAAAGCAGCCAUCAAUAAAGAAAGCGUUCAAGCUCAACACUUAAAUCAAUAUAAUUCCCAACAUCUCACCUACCUCCUGCAAUUACAAUUGGGUCAAUCUAUUAAUAAAUAGAUGAGAUACUGUUAGUAUGAGUAACAAGAAUAAUAUUCUCCUUGCACAAGCAUAUAACAACCCGGAUAACCAUUGUUAGUUAACAUCUAUAUAAGUGCAUACUCCCACUAUUAAUUCACUUAUUACCCCAUGUUAAUCCAACACAGGUGUGCUUAAAGGAAAGAUUAAAAGAAGUAAAAGGAACUCGGCAAACAUGAAUCCCGCCUGUUUACCAAAAACAUAACCUCUAGCAUUAAAAGUAUUAGAGGCAAUGCCUGCCCAGUGACUAAGUUUAACGGCCGCGGUAUCCUG
rnacentral:rRNA from 1 species